CUACGGGAGGCAGCAGUGGGGAAUCUUAGACAAUGGGCGCAAGCCUGAUCUAGCCAUGCCGCGUGAGUGACGAAGGCCUUAGGGUCGUAAAGCUCUUUCGCUGGGGAAGAUAAUGACGGUACCCAGUAAAGAAACCCCGGCUAACUCCGUGCCAGCAGCCGCGGUAAUACGGAGGGGGUUAGCGUUGUUCGGAAUUACUGGGCGUAAAGCGCGCGUAGGCGGAUCAGAAAGUUGGGGGUGAAAUCCCGGGGCUCAACCCCGGAACUGCCUUCAAAACUCCUGGUCUUGAGUUCGAGAGAGGUGAGUGGAAUUCCGAGUGUAGAGGUGAAAUUCGUAGAUAUUCGGAGGAACACCAGUGGCGAAGGCGGCUCACUGGCUUGAUACUGACGCUGAGGUGCGAAAGCGUGGGGAGCAAACAGGAUUAGAUACCCGUGUAGUC
rnacentral:rRNA from 1 species